ensembl:lncRNA
CUCAGCCAGAGAUGCGAGGGCAGCUAGAUGCUAAGAGGAAGAGAAAACCAGGAGAAAACCUCGGAGUUUACCUGUGAAAAGGAAAAAAACAGUUGGAGCACUUACCCACUGGAGGUCCGGAGCCAAGUGACUGAACCAAGGAGAGAGUUACGUCGGCUAACCACUUGGCUUUCACCCAGAGAGCCGCGGCAAGGUCCGACAUCGGCGUGCCCGCCUUCAUACAGAGAGCAACGGUGAGGUUUUUUUGGAGGACUGAAGAGUCUGAGGUUCAGGACAAACUUCCUGCUGUAACAGAUGGCGAGCCAACCACCCUGAAGAAAGAUCAGCACCGAGAAGAUAUCCACGUACCCACUCAUUCACACACACAUUAUACAUUUACAUUUCACUACAAAGACCUUUGGAAUCAGGUGAACUUGCAAUAAUCCUACAACAGGAAAACCUGCAACAACUCCUAUUUUACUUAAGGGCCCCAACGGACAUUUUUUUGUUUCAAGUGUGCACACUGGGUUUUUCUUAUUGUCUUACAGUUUGGGUUAUUAUUUUGUAUUCUGUACAAAUCAGACAACUUGUUUUAUCCACU